rnacentral:rRNA from 1 species
UACGGGGGGAGCAAGCGUUGUUCGGAUUUACUGGGCGUAAAGGGCGCGUAGGCGGUCGUGACAAGUCACUUGUGAAAUCUCCGGGCUUAACUCGGAACGGUCAAGUGAUACUGUCGGACUAGAGUACAGAAGGGGCAACUGGAAUUCUCGGUGUAGCGGUGAAAUGCGUAGAUAUUGGGAGGAACACCAGUGGCGGAAGGCGGCUCACUGGACUGGUACUGACGCUGAUGCGCGAAAGCGUGGGGAGCAAACAGGG